rnacentral:lncRNA from 1 species
CUUUCCCACAAUGAAUAAAAUCCAUCUUCUUGCACUGUUUGUCCACUUCUUCACCCAAGGGUAACAAAAUAACCCGGAAAGCAGGAACACCCUGUCCGUGAACCCGGCUGGAAAAUAAAUAAAUAUAAAUCCAUACAUUCGUAAAUAAAUACACAGAAAAAAAAAAAAGAGGGAUGACUCGGAGGGUUCCCAGGAAAACCAGCUGUGUCUAACACAGCGACCACGGACACACGAGCCCCAGAGCUCCUAAUUCCUCAGCUAUUGCUCAGCAGUGAGUCAGAAGCCGUCGCUGGGUGACUCACAGGGGCUCCAAAAUGCAGCUGAGCUCGUGUCCCUGGGCAGGCAGGCUGCAGGGGAUCUGAGUGGGCAGGGAGGCAGUGUCCCAGCAGCUGGCUGUGCUUGUAGGGUGGCGGGCAGGCUGGGGGCACCCCACGCUCCAGUGACAGCUGCUGGUCUACAGGCUGCCACGGCAGAGGUGACGGCACAUUCAGUUCUCUGAAGGUACUUUGCUUAUGUAUGUCGUCUUCUUUUCCACCCUCCUUCCAGCACACACACGUUUCUCUCUUCACCUGAUUUAAAAAUUCAGCUACGGAGAUUUCCCUGCUUGAGAUACAGCACCUAAGGAGGAGCUGGCUGUCAGCUGAAGCCCUUCUCUGACUGCAUGGAAAUCCUGAUUUAAAUCCGCACUGAAAGAGGCAGACAGCUUCCACAAGAGCUAUUCCCUAUGCUGCUGGGUGCAGCGAUCCUGGGAUCCAUCUCUUUUGCUAUCAGCUUUGGCCAUGAAGUUUUUAAGAUUCCAAGGGAGUGCCUCCUUGUUGAAGAAGCACUCCCUCCAGUCUUUGCUGCUUGCAGAUUUCUCCGUGCUGUGAUGAAUUGCUUUGCUCAGCCCAGGAAAAUGAACAUAUUCAUCAGCAUUUCACGUGCCAAUAUGGGUAACAGUGGUAGUCUGAGCUCCCUAGGGACGGACCUUUGCCUUGCUGGAUCCUUCCUUCCUAUUCUGCAUUAAACUCAACGUGUCCUAACAUCAGACCCAAAGGUUUUUUGCAAGAUUACCUUGGAGGUUACAGAACCGACUGAAGACUUGAAGAACAGAUGGAAGCUUUGCAGACUUUUGAAUUGCCAAAGAAGGGUGCUUAAUGAAAAAGUAUUGCCAAAAAAAGGUUGUUUAAUGAGAAAACCAGCAACAUUUUCUGCUGUACUUACAUAAAGAGUGUGUUUUUAUGGUCCACAAUGUAAGAAAUCUGACCCUUUUUUCUUUUAUUACUACAUAGGACA